AUUGAACGCUGGCGGCAUGCUUUACACAUGCAAGUCGAACGGCAGCGCGGGCUUCGGCCUGGCGGCGAGUGGCGAACGGGUGAGUAAUGCAUCGGAACGUGCCCAGUAGUGGGGGAUAGCCCGGCGAAAGCCGGAUUAAUACCGCAUACGACCUGAGGGUGAAAGCGGGGGACCGAAAGGCCUCGCGCUAUUGGAGCGGCCGAUGUCGGAUUAGCUAGUUGGUGGGGUAAAGGCUUACCAAGGCGACGAUCCGUAGCUGGUCUGAGAGGACGACCAGCCACACUCGGACUGAGACACGGCCCAGACUCCUACGGGAGGCAGCAGUGGGGAAUUUUGGACAAUGGGGGCAACCCUGAUCCAGCCAUGCCGCGUGCGGGAAGAAGGCCUUCGGGUUGUAAACCGCUUUUGUUCGGGAAGAAAUCCUCUGGGCUAAUACCCCGGGGGGAUGACGGUACCGGAAGAAUAAGCACCGGCUAACUACGUG
rnacentral:rRNA from 1 species